AGGCUUCUUUCCAAAUGUUCCGGAGGUGUGCCCAGGACCUGGAUCCUGGGCCAACAGUGGGAACAAGAAGACAAUGAAGACAUGUAUGGGGGACAAACCACUCCAUUUUGCUGCCUUAAUGGGAUUCCUCAGAGCUGCAAGAUUCAGGAAUCAUGAGUGACAAAGCAACCUGUUCCAUUGCUUCAAAGCAUAUCUGGAUUGGAUGAAGAAGCCAUGUACAUGAUGUCAGUGUAUAAGAAAUUAUGAGCUGGGAUAGCCAUAACAAGAAGUCAGCCAAUGGGAACUGUUUGGUGACUAAGAAAAAGGAUCUGUUAUGAGCCAUGUGAGAUGGUUUGGAGCCGGGGCGUGGCUUAGCUUAACUGGUCUGUAUGUAUAUAUAUAUGAAUUCAUUUGUCCUUGC